GUAGUUAUUCUCCUACUGGUUGUAAAGACAGUUGUCUCUGCAUCUCGAGGUCAACUUGACAACGAUAAGAUCAAGCAAAUCAAAGCUGGACUUCGGAGCACUUUGUUGCUCUUCCCCCUGCUUGGUAUCGCUUGGCUAUUGACAACUGUAGUGGCAGUUUUCCCUCACGUCAAGGCGUUGGAAUACACCUUCAACCUGCUCAAUUCUCUUCAGGGGUUCUUCGUCGCAUGGCUCUAUUGCUUUCUCAAUUCGGAGGU